rnacentral:rRNA from 1 species
UCGUACCCCAAACCGACACAGGUGGUCAGGUAGAGAAUACCAAGGCGCUUGAGAGAACUCGGGUGAAGGAACUAGGCAAAAUGGUGCCGUAACUUCGGGAGAAGGCACGCUGACACGUAGGUGAAGUGAUUUACUCAUGGAGCUGAAGUCAGUCGAAGAUACCAGCUGGCUGCAACUGUUUAUUAAAAACACAGCACUGUGCAAACACGAAAGUGGACGUAUACGGUGUGACGCCUGCCCGGUGCCGGAAGGUUAAUUGAUGGGGUCAGCGCAAGCGAAGCUCCUGAUCGAAGCCCCGGUAAACGGCGGCCGUAACUAUAACGGUCCUAAGGUAGCGAAAUUCCUUGUCGGGUAAGUUCCGACCUGCACGAAUGGCGUAAUGAUGGCCAGGCUGUCUCCACCCGAGACUCAGUGAAAUUGAACUCGCUGUGAAGAUGCAGUGUACCCGCGGCAAGACGGAAAGACCCCGUGAACCUUUACUAUAGCUUGACACUGAACAUUGAGCCUUGAUGUGUAGGAUAGGUGGGAGGCUUUGAAGUGUGGACGCCAGUCUGCAUGGAGCCGACCUUGAAAUACCACCCUUUAAUGUUUGAUGUUCUAACGUGGACCCGUGAUCCGGGUUGCGGACAGUGUCUGGUGGGUAGUUUGACUGGGGCGGUCUCCUCCUAAAGAGUAACGGAGGAGCACGAAGGUUGGCUAAUCCUGGUCGGACAUCAGGAGGUUAGUGCAAUGGCAUAAGCCAGCUUGACUGCGAGCGUGACGGCGCGAGCAGGUGCGAAAGCAGGUCAUAGUGAUCCGGUGGUUCUGAAUGGAAGGGCCAUCGCUCAACGGAUAAAAGGUACUCCGGGGAUAACAGGCUGAUACCGCCCAAGAGUUCAUAUCGACGGCGGUGUUUGGCACCUCGAUGUCGGCUCAUCACAUCCUGGGGCUGAAGUAGGUCCCAAGGGUAUGGCUGUUCGCCAUUUAAAGUGGUACGCGAGCUGGGUUUAGAACGUCGUGAGACAGUUCGGUCCCUAUCUGCCGUGGGCGCUGGAGAACUGAGGGGGGCUGCUCCUAGUACGAGAGGACCGGAGUGGACGCAUCACUGGUGUUCGGGUUGUCAUGCCAAUGGCACUGCCCGGUAGCUAAAUGCGGAAGAGAUAAGUGCUGAAAGCAUCUAAGCACGAAACUUGCCCCGAGAUGAGUUCUCCCUGAGACUUUAGGUCUCCUGAAGGAACGUUGAAGACGACGACGUUGAUAGGCCGGGUGUGUAAGCGCAGCGAUGCGUUGAGCUAACCGGUACUAAUGAACCGUGAGGCUUAACCUUACA